GGUAUCGGUUCGGGUUCGG
rnacentral:snRNA from 1 species